GAGGAUAUAGCUCAGUGAUACAGCAGAUGCUUAGUAUGCAUGAGGUCCUGGGUUUGAGCCCCAGUACCUCCA
rnacentral:tRNA from 1 species